CCUGUCCACGCUGCGGAGAGCCCAGAAAGGAGGGGCAGCCGUGGCGGCCGCAGGAAAAACGCGGUGGUUGGAAGGACUCCCCGCAGAUGUCCAGAGCCUCUAAGACUGCAUCUCCGCCCUCAGCAUCCAGGGAAACCAGCAACAGAAGAGCAACCUGGGGAAGAGAACUGUGUCACACGCUGGUGCAGGAUGUGAGAGCAUCUGGAUCCGUCACCACCCAGCUCUUCCCCAAGUGUCUGGGAUUUGGCCUUUCUGGAUUCUGCCUCUGUCUCUCCAGCUGUGCCCUCUCAGGCUCCCGUGGAGCGGAAGGUGUUCUGCCUCCUUUACCUGCCCCUUAAAAGUUGAAGUCACCAGGGAUUUUCCUGCCGGUCCAGUGGUUAAGACUCCGUGCUCACAACACAGGGGGUCCAGCCCCAACCCGGAACUCCAGCCUCCCUGUGUCCAAUGGCCUGGUGGAUGCCUCUCCCUGAAUAUCCCACAGGAGAGGGGGGCCAAGGGUUGCUACGUACCUGGAGAUGGAGUUCUCUGAUGCGAUGUCCUUUGGGGUCCGGACUGUUGUGAAGGGCUCCCCCUCUGACCUUUGUGUUCCCUGCGGCCUUUGCCAGUGACACGGGAGAAGUCCAUCCGGGGAGUCCGAGGUGUGGAGGUGACGGAUGAGGGAGGUUCAUCCAGUUCCACGCCCACCCACUGGCCGCUGGCGAACUCCGUGGUCCCGCAGAACCGUAGCGUGCCCGUCUGAGGAAACAAGGGAGGAUAUGGCUUGGGUGCACCUUGAGAGGCCAUGAUAAGAUCACCGGCACACAGGCAGCAUGGUGGGAUGGAUGAGGGAGCCCCAGGCUUAAAUCUCAGCUUGGACAUCACCAUUCACUGGUUGUAUAACUUAACUGUACUGUGCCUCAACGUCCUCAUCUGCGAAAUGGGAACAGAAAUCUCACCCACCUUACAGGAUUGUUACAGAGCUGCGCUGUCCGAUGCAGUAAAUGGCCACUAGCCACAUAUGACAAUUUAAAUUAACUAAAAUUAAAUUAAAAUAUCAUUUCUCCAAUCACACUAGCCACAUUUCAAGUGCUUAAUAGCCACAUGUGGCUAAUGGCUACUUCACUGGACUACACAGACACAGAACAUUUCCAAUCUCACAGAAAGGUCUAUUGGACAUGAAUGCUAUAGAGACAUAAAAGCCCUCAGAACAGGGCCUGGUGCUGAGAAAGGGAUCAGUAAGUGUUGACUAUUAUUAUCCUGUAACUUUGGUAAAGGGACCUCACGGGGCCUCGGUUUCAUUUGGAAAAUGGGGAUAACAAUCCACCUCAGAGGCUGGUUAUGUGGUGGAAACAUUUUUAAUAUAUGUGAAGUUGCUUAGCUGCAGUGAGUGUGGUUAUUAUCAUUGGUGUGAGGCUUCUUCACUGCUCUAAGCCUCAGUUCCUUAUCUAUAAAAUGGGCUAAAUAAUAGUGCCUACUUUGGAGAGUUGGUGUGGGGAUCAGAACAGUGCCUGGCACACAAAGAGCCAAGCCCUAUUCUAAGGGCUUUAACACAUUUUAACUAAUUUAAACCUCGAAAAUAAUCUAAAAAGAGAGUGGAUAUAUGUAUAUACAUAACUGAUUCACUUUGCUGUUCAGCAGAAACUAACACAACAUUGUAAAUCAACUAUAUGCCAAUAAAAAUUAAUUUAAAAAAACAAAAUAAAAUAAACCUCAAACAACCCCCCUCAAAUGGGUACUAUCAGCUCCAUUUUACAGAUGAAGAAACUGAUGCCCAGAGAGGUGAAAUCACUGGCCCCACAGCUGGUAAGUGGCAAAGCUGAGAUCUGCCUGAGCAAAUCCCUGAGCCUGAGUUUAUAACCACUGUGCUAUGCUGCUUCUCUACAGGCAGAGAUUGUUAUUACAUGUCUUCAGACAAAGAGUUUCACCUCUUGGGCUUCUUACAGUCUUCUAUAUUGUAAAAUGGAGAGAAUCAACCCAUCCUGCUUUCAAAACUGUCACACUGAUUUGAUUAGAUCAUGUACAGAAACUUUCCAGAUGGGGCUGAUGCAUGCAAAACUCCUGAUUACGAAACAAAAUGUGACUUUUAUGGCUUCUCACUGUACAAAGAAACAAAAUUCAAAUUCACUCCAGUGGCCUGCAGGCCUGGUGAGAUCCAGCCCCUGCUAACAUCUCCACUUCACCCUCCCUAGAUAACUCCCCUCCAGUCACACUACCCCUCCCCUCCUCUAGGACUUUGUACCUGCGGUCUCCUCUGUCUCCAUAUUUUUGCAAGGUGAGCUCCUUCCCAUCUCAGCUCAGAUAUCACCUCCUCAGAGAAGCCUUCUCAGAAGACCUUAGCUAAAACCACCUCGGCCCUCAGCCAGGGCCAAUUUAUUAAAUCCAAGCAUUUAAUGGUUUUCAAA